rnacentral:rRNA from 1 species
AUUGAACGCUGGCGGCAGGCCUAACACAUGCAAGUCGAGCGGAGCGGCGGACGGGUGAGUAAUGCCUAGGAAUCGGCCUGGUAGUGGGGGAUAACGACCGGAAACGGGCGCUAAUACCGCCUAUUAUCAGAAGAGCCUAGGUCGGAUUAGCUAGUUGGUGGGGUAAAGGCCUCCCAAGGCGACGAUCCGUAACUGGUCUGAGAGGAUGACACGUCACACUGGAACUGAGACACGUUCCAGACUCCUACGGGAGGCAGCAGUGGGGAGUAUUGGCCAAUGGGCGAAAGCCUGAUCCAGCCAUGCCGCGUGUGUGAAUAAGGUCUUCGGAUUGUAAAGCACUUUAAGUUGGGAGGCGUUACCAACAGAAUCAGCACCGGCUAACUUCGUGCCAGCAGCCGCGGUAAUAC